UCGAGUCUCCCUUCACGGGAAAUUACUGCCUGUGUUUGUAACACAGGGCGACUGAUGUUGGGAGAGAGAGCUGGGGCGGACCUCUGACGGCAGAAGGCAAACAUUGUUUGCUGUCGCGUUUUAGCAGCGUUGGCUGGGUCUGGUUAUGAAGCUGAGGGAUAUCUCCUAUUUGUGAGAGAGAGAGAGAGAAGGCGAGAGGAGAGUGAAUGAGAUCCGGAAACUGGGGAUGAGGACCGAUGGCAGACCGGGACCCAGAAGUGAUAGUGUUUAAACGCCGUUUCCUGAAACUCCAUCAUCAUUUGCACCGGCUCCGCUGAAUCCUACAUUUGCAAAAAUAUUGAUAAUAUUUAAACACACGUUUCUCCAGCAAAUGCAGUCUUAUGGAUUAAGACCUGGCGCAUGGAGAUAAUCAUAUACUUCUGUUCAGUUAAUCUUUUCUAUCUACCUCUCAUUCUCGGGAGCUCCAUCAGGAUUGGUCUAGAAGGGAACAACUCUAGCCUCUAUGCCAGCUCUAUUGGCCGACAACCAGGUAUAUAGGGGAGGAAGCUCAAGGAGAGGGAGUGGAGGCUGCAAGAGAGAAUCAGAAUGUGAGAGAAGCUGCAAGGGAUUGGACAAUGAGGAUAUCAAAUAGAGAGAACAGUUUUCAGUGUGACAACAAAGAAAUGCUCAACCAGGAAAACCUGAAAUCAUGGAGAUAAUUAAAUCCUUGAAAUGCAUGUGGACCUCUAGCUCAAAGCUGCAUAUAUUCAGGUGCUGGCAGGAAACAUAGUGGAUGUUAUUGUAAUGAACGCUGUUAAUUGUUAAAUUUAAAACUGAGAUUCUUGAGAUGCAGUAACAAUGGUAGUAACUACCCAGUUAAAAUCUUCUGGUACCAUAUCAGUUGCGACCUCACCAGCCUGUGGAAGAUAGAUUUUGGGUGAUGGCUUUUUGUGUGCAGAAAUGUAUCAGUUGUAUUUUAAAAAAAAGUUUCCUUAUAAAUUUA